GAGGAUACUAUGUUACACUUCGUGGUCAUGUCUCCAUAGGCUCCUCUUGGCCAGGCAGUUUCUCAGACAUAACCUGUUUUUGAUCACCUUGACAGUUUUGAAGAGUAUUGGUCAGGAAUUUUGUAGAAUGACCUCCAUUGGGAUUUACCUGAUGUUUUAUGAUUUUCCAGUUUUCUCUCUUGUGAUGUCACUCUUUCCCCUUCUCUCUACCAUACUCUUUGGAAGGGAGUCACUUUGCAUAGCCUACCCUUAACAGAUGAGGAACUUGUUCGAUCUGCUGAGGGUACAGUGGCUUAGUUUUUAUGAGCUGAAUUCCAGUUAAUCCAGGACAACUCUCUAUUUGAGAGAAGCCUGAAGUGAAUCCCCUGGAAACUCAGAAAUCCCCCUUUUUCUGUGAAUAGCUAUGGGUCUCAGAAAAGUGUUGAAUAAGAAUCAGCAUAAGUUUAGACUUGCAUUUUGGAGUGGGAGUGUUCACAGUUCUUCACAAUAGUUCAACAGUUCUGCUCCUUAUGCGUGAGGUUCUUUAUUUUAAAUGUGAGUGUUAGUUUUGCUUUAGGGUCAACAGGCUUUUUUUUUUUUUUUCUUCUUCUUCUUGAAAUUCAGUCUUUAUGUUGGCAUUUUUUUCUUUUUUUGGUAUGCCAAAUCAUUUCUAAGUUAUUGUGCUUAGGCAUAAAAUCUAAAUGUCUCUGUAGCACAUACUUCAAAAUAAAAAGUAUUUCAGUUUCUUUCUUUUCUUUUCUUUUUUUUUUUUUUUUUUGAGGUUUUGAGUGUUGCUGCCAUGCGAACAGGACUGGUACUAGAAUGAGCCAAUUUUUGAAGCUACUGUGAGGGAAAAUGAAGGGUGCAUUAUAAAAAAAUUUCAAGUUGUUUUAGUAAUCAUACAAAAUUUGUUCUGUUCUGUUUCCAUAUUCAAUUUGUCCAACUUGGAGUCUUCCACUGCCUUUAUUUUAAAGAAUAUUUCAAUAGAGUCUUUUGUCAGCACAGGCCGAGCAAAGAAGAAAAUAGUGGCUAUUCUGCCAAAAGUCAUAAAUGGGUCAGUAAGUUAUUUGCUAUAAAGAUGCAGUGAAGUCUUUACCCCACAAAACAGCUGUCUACCAGAGAAGGCAAAGCUAUGGCCCAGGCAUAGGGUGUAAAUGCCUGCCUGUGGGCACCGUCAUUUGCUGGCUUGUGGCAAGAGCCUUAUUUUUUUUUUUUUUUUUUCCCUGUUCUGUUUGGGCAACAGGUGGUUACUGAGCUGACUUAUUUGAAAUUGCUCCUUGGAUUGAUUGUGGGCUUUCCUGACUCCCUAGCCCACGUAAAAUCCUCCCUUCACAAGCUCCCACAGUACCUUCAACCUCCUUAUCCUGUUACACUUAACAAUUGUGAAUACAUAGUCAAUACUGUGCGCGUUUGGUGUUUGCUAGCUCCUCUGCUGGGCUAUGAAGGGCCUGAGAGCUGGGAACACAUGUUUAUAGUUCACAGAUAGCAGUGAUUUAUGGCUCCUUCCACCUCGAAUGCUCUGUGCCUACAAUAUUCAAUACUGUAGCCACCAGCCCCAUGCGGCUAUUUAGAUUAAAAUUAUGUAAAAUUAGGGGCACCUGGGUGGCUCGGUGGGUUAAAGCCUCUGCCUUCAGCUCAGGUCAUGAUCCCGGGGUCCUGGGAUCGAGCCCCGCGUCGGGAUCUCUGCUCCACGGGAACCUGCUUUUUGCCUGCCUCUCUGCCUACUUGUGAUUUCUCUCUCUCUGUCAAAUAAAUAAAAUCUUUAAAAAAAAUUACGUAAAAUUAAAUAGGAUGAGUGAUUCAGUUCCUCAGGUAGUUGGUCGUUACUGCAUUACAAGUACAGUUAUGAAAUGUUGCCAUCAUCGUGGAAAGUUCUACUGGACAGUGGAGUUUUCUGUCUUGUUUGACAGAUCCUGGUGGUGGCAGAUCCCUAGGGAUAGGAUGGGUUCUAGAGUUUUGUGUUCAUCUCAUUGUCCUUGUCUAGAACACAGGAAAUGAGGAGAUGGACUGAAAGAUUUAUCUGUUCUUCAGAGUUUUUGCAGAAGACCCACAGAGGAACGCCCUCUGUACUCCUUACUAUACAAAAGGCAAGACCCAGAGGUUAAGCACAGGUGUGUUGGAUCUGGGUAGCCUGGGUUUGAAUGUUCUAUUACUUACUCCUCUGAGCUUCCACUUCCUUAUCCAUAAAAUAAGGGUAAUACUAAUGUCUCCCUCAUCGCAAUGUGGAGGUAUUGAUGUAGUACUGCUUAAAUCUCACUUAGCAGGUUCCUGGCACACUCUAAGUGCUCCCAUGUGUCAGCUCUUGGUAUUAAUUUCGUACUCCUUUGUUAUCUACCUUAGGACCGCCAUUCAUGUUUCAAGAAUCGACCACAUAUCUUAAAAAACUAUGUUCUGACUUGCUGUCCCCAUCCUACUCCAUCCUCUAUCCAGCACUGUGCUCACUCCAGAGCCCAAGAACCCUUUAUUUUAGCUCCUACUUCAUUGCACAGUCUUUUCUCUCCCCUCAGAAAGCUAUGAACAUCUUGAAGACAGGUUCUGUGCCUUGUCUUUGGAUCUGCAGAGCCAGUGUCUUGUCCACUGCUGGCUUUCAGUGCUUGUGAGCUCCUCAUGGGAGGUUACAGAUUGUCAGUAUGCAGCUUUAGCAGGGAUGAAAAUGCGUACCCAUAGGUCGCCAGGGCCUGGUUAUUUUGGGGCUAGGUGUAUGGUGAUUGUUAAUUUCUAGGUGAGUAUUUGAAAAGUGUAUCUUGCCAUCUGAGCCCUCACUGGCAAGAGAUCUGGUGCUAUGAUCUGAAUGCUUAUGUCACCCCCUCCUCCGCCUAAUCCAUAUGUUGCAAUCCUAAUAGCCAAGGUGAUAGUAUUAAGAGGUGAGGCUUUGGGGAGGUGAUUAGGGAAUAGAGUAGAGCCCUUAUGAAUGGAAUUAGUGUACUUAUACAAGACAACUCCAGAGACAUCCCUCACCCUUCUGCCAUGUGAAGAUCCAAUGGAAAGGGGAUAUCCGUGAACCAGGAUGUGAGCUCUCACCAGACUGAAUCUGUCGGCACCAUGAGCCUGGAAUUCCCAGCCUCCAGAAUGGGAAAAAUAAACUGAAAAGGUGAACGCAGCUGUCUGAUCAUCACAACGGGCGGCUCUGCCUUGCAGCUGGAGAUGCAUAGGAAAUUGAAAUUUACAACAACAUGGGCACUGCCCCUCCUCCGAAACAGUUCCUGGAAUAUCCCAAACUGAAGGUCUCACAAGGCCACUGAGGGGCUGCUGAGGAGUACUAGAUGAGCCACUGAACUUCUCACCAUCCUGCUCCAGCUGAACGAAGGUCUGGGUAACAGUGGUGCUCAUCAUUGACUAUCUGAGUCAUAAAUGAGAAGACAUGAACAACAUUCUGCACAAUUCUGACAGCGAGUCGGCACUCAUUACUGGUGAUGAUGGCAACCCCAGAUACUGCAUCUGAAUCCUUCUCCUUCUUCGCAACUAUAAAUCACACCACCCAUUUGUUAUUUUAUCAUGUUCUAGUCUACCUUGCACUUACAUUUUCAUGUAUUAAUAUUACCUUAUAUUAUUAUUUACAGAUUACUCUUAAAUGUUAAUUUGUCUGAUCCUAAAGCAGUAAUAAGGUAAGUAAGGCAAGCCCUAUUAUUCUUCUGAGAUGAAGAAAAUAACUAAGACUUAGAGAAGGCAAGUGACUUCUUAAUUUUACAUAUUUAAAGUAGUCAGAGGGGCCACAAUGAGAGUUCAGACCAUCAACCACAGUGCUUGUCAUUUGUCUGUUUUAGAAACAGAACAAUCUGUUCAUGGUUAAUUUUAAGAAGUCAAUUGCUAAAAAAAAGUUUGGAAAUCAUGAGAAUGAAUUCUAUCGAAAGUCUCCUAAUGACUAGCACCCACAGCUUCUGCGACCAAGGCUGGAGAGAGACCUGUGGGUUUUGCUGGAGUUGAAAGUUGCCUUAUCCAGUCCUGCAGUUCUGGCCUUAAAAUUAACAACAUCCCCACUCUCCAGUAAUGGAGGAAACCAAGAAAUUACAUAAUAAUGUACCAGGGGAGAAGAGAUUGCUUUCUGAUCCUCCAGGCAUUUGUUUUAUGUACUGACACAAGAACAUUUGAUUAUUCCCUUAGCAGUCUUACGGAGAAUGGCUAUAAAUGCCAAUUUGCAUCAGGAAAUUACCUGGCCGUACUCUAACUGUGGGAACAAGUUCCAUGAAAUUUUGGCUUGCCUUGCAUGUAUUUUGUAUCACAGAAAUGCACCACACCUUUGGUGGUCACUCUUUUGGGUCUUGGUCUCAGGAAGAAACUCAGGUCAAAAUUAAUGAGUUGCAGUCUGUCCUCAAAGUCACAGAUUACUCCCAAAACUGUGUGCUGAAAUUUCUUGGCAGACAUAAACAGCAGUAAAUAAUUUUUUUUUAUAAGAGGAAAAAUAUCCUAGAAGAAAAAAUUCCUAAAACUUAGUGGAGGAGUGGCUAAGGGAAAGCAUGCAAUGGGUCUUCUUACAGUGAUAAGCAUGGGUUCCCUUCGGUUGUUAUGUCAGAAACGGAGUCAUGUUGAGACAGAUCUUUGCUUAUCAAUGCCUUCUAAAAUUUGAUUAUUCAACAAUUAUUUAUUGAGUACUUGCCCUGUGCCUUGUUCUGUGCUAGAUACUCUGCACAAAUUAUCUUGAGAUCUUUAGUCACCCUACGUAUGAUGCAGUUAUUUUGGGUGGCUCAGAUGCGUUCUUCCACGAGACAAUUGCUUUGAGAUAUCACAACAUUUUUCUUCGUUUAUUGAUUUACUUGUGAACUCUCCAAGUGCGAAAUGCAACUCAAAAUGCAAAAUAAUUUGGAAUCAGUAUAGUAUGGCACAAAGAGGACACACAGGGCAGAGUCUGCCUCCAGGUUGCUGACUGUCUUGCUGGUAGAUGUCAUCACUUACCAAUGCUGAGACUGUUGCCUAUUUCUAUUGCUGAGAGUGUCUACUCAUAUGCUUCUGUUCUGUCCUUCAAUGGUGAACUUACCUUAUCGUGUUCUUCAUUUAAAGAAUUUUUUUUCAUACUGUAUAUAAGAAGAUAUUCAACUAAAUGAAGCAUUUGGGACUCUAAACUCAUUCAUUUGAAAAUGUUUUUGCAUGAUCUGAGACUACUUCACCUUUGACUUGUUUAUCUAUCCAGGCAUUCAACAACAAAUCCUGGACAUCUACAUCUGUGGUAUGUGGGGUAAAUAAGAGUGAUAAGACACUGAGAGAGGGAGUUCUUGACCUUAUAGACCUUGCAGUCUACGGGGAAGACCAAUAAAUCAAUAGGCAUUAGUCAAACAGUAUGCUAAGUACUUGGAUGGGCUAAGCAUGAGAUUCUUUGCAGGACUCGGAUGGGGUGCCUCAGGGAGGUCAUCCAAUAGUUUUCCCAAACACCCUCCUUUGCAUAUAAUAUGUUCAGGGAAGCCUGUAUCAGACACACUUGGAAUGUUAAAAUACAGAUUCCAAGAUCCAAAUGAACCUCUGUGGUUAGGGCAGAGUAAUCUGCAUUCUUUUUUUUUUUUUUUUAAAGAUUUUAUUUAUUUAUUUGACAGACAGAGAUCAUAAGUAGGCAGAGAGAGGAGAGGAAUCAGGCUCCCUGUUGAGCAGAGAGCCCCAUAUGGGGUUUGAUCCCAGGAUCCUGGGAUCAUGACCUGAGCCAAAGGCAGAGGCUCAACCCACUGAGUCACCCAGGCACCCCCUGGAGUAAUCUGCAUUUUAACAAAGUACCCCUAGGUGAGUCUUACACCCCUUGAAGUGUGAGAACCACGAUUUAGAUUGAUUGACUAGUUAAAUGCUUGUUCCUUCUUCAACAUCUGUGUAAUAAUCAGAAAUCUGCAUCAGAAUAUAACAGCGGAGUCUUGUCUUAGAGAUAGUCGAUUCAAAUGUAAAUCAACUUUUUUUUUUUUUUUUUAAAGUAUUGUUAGUCACAAAUUGCCUGC